rnacentral:misc_RNA from 1 species
AAGACUAUAGACCUGCGGAGUACCUGCGGAAGGAUCAUUACUGAGUGAGGGCCCUCUGGGUCCAACCUCCCACCCGUGUUUAUUGUACCUUGUUGCUUCGGUGGGCCCGCCGCAAGGCCGCCGGGGGCUUCCGCCCCGGGCCCGCGCCCACCGGAGACAAACUGAACUCUGUCUGAAUGUUGCAGUCUGAGUAAAAACUUAAUAAGUUAAAACUUUCAGCAACGGAUCUCUAGAUCGGAA